GAUGAACGCUGGCGGCGUGCCUAAUACAUGCAAGCCGAGCGAACGGACGAGAAGCUUGCUUCUCUGAUGUUAGCGGCGGACGGGUGAGUAACACGUGGAUAACCUACCUAUAAGACUGGGAUAACUUCGGGAAACCGGAGCUAAUACCGGAUAAUAUUUUGAACCGCAUGGUUCAAAAGUGAAAGACGGUCUUGCUGUCACUUAUAGAUGGAUCCGCGCUGCAUUAGCUAGUUGGUAAGGUAACGGCUUACCAAGGCAACGAUGCAUAGCCGACCUGAGAGGGUGAUCGGCCACGCUGGAACUGAGACACGGUCCAGACUCCUACGGGAGGCAGCAGUAGGGAAUCUUCCGCAAUGGGCGAAAGCCUGACGGAGCAACGCCGCGUGAGUGAUGAAGGUCUUCGGAUCGUAAAACUCUGUUAUUAGGGAAGAACAUAUGUGUAAGUAACUGUGCACACCUUGACGGUACCUAAUCAGAAAGCCACGGCUAACUACGUG
rnacentral:rRNA from 1 species